rnacentral:misc_RNA from 1 species
UAGAGUUGUAAAACUCCCUAAACCCAUGUGAACAUACCUGUUGCCUCGGCGGGCCUACCCGGGACCUACCCUGUAGCUACCAAGUAGAACCGCCGAAGGACCAAUAAACUCUUUUAUCUCUGUAUCUCUGAGUAAAAAAACAAAUAAGUUA